rnacentral:tRNA from 1 species
GCUGGUGUGGCUCAGUUGGUUAGAGCAUCAUCCUGAGCAUCUGAGGGUUGUGGGUUCAAUUCCCACUCAGGGCA